rnacentral:rRNA from 1 species
UACAUGGGGUGCAAACGUUGCUCGGAAUCAUUGGGCGUAAAGCGCGCGUAGGCGGUUACUUAAGUCGAAUGUGAAAGCCCUCGGCUUAACUGAGGAAGUGCAUCCGAAACUGAGUAGCUAGAGUACGAAAGAGGGUCGCGGAAUUCCCGGUGUAGAGGUGAAAUUCGUAGAUAUUCGCAAGAACACCAGUGGCGAAGGCGGCUCACUGGCCCGGUACUGACGCUGAGGUGCGAAAGCGUGGGGAGCAAACAGG